CCUACGGGGGGCAGCAGUGAGGAAUAUUGGUCAAUGGGCGGAAGCCUGAACCAGCCAAGUCGCGUGAGGGACUAAGGCCCUGCGGGUCGUAAACCUCUUUUGCCGGGGAGCAGUGGUCCGGACGCGUCCGGACCGGGAGAGUACCCGGAGAAAAAGCAUCGGCUAACUCCGUGCCAGCAGCCGCGGUAAUACGUAGGGAGCAAGCGUUAUCCGGAUUUAUUGGGUGUAAAGGGUGCGUAGACGGGAAAACAAGUUAGUUGUGAA
rnacentral:rRNA from 1 species